AGACCAAGGGAGGGAGCUGUGUUUAUUCUGUGGAUCCCUCCAGCCAUCUGGAGGAGUCAGAGACUUGAAGUGGAGUGGACGCUGGACCAUUCAGGGCAAUGGGACAAGUGGCUAACAAGCUCAAUCCCUGCCAUGUGGGUGAGCUCCUCAGGAGCCCUCAGAGGUUGAGAAAGAAGCCCAGAUCUUCCCAGAGCUGCCUUCGUGACUCAAUAGUAUGGUUGUUUCCCCUGCUUCCCGCUGCGUCUACAUGGGCUCAGUGGGUGGAAACUUGGGAGAAGUCUGGCGUGCUGCCCUCUUCGAGAGUCGAGGAACCUGGCUGCAGUCAGGUCCAGGGAAGAACAGUUGACAUCAGGCUUCUCUUUGAAGACCUGACAGCAAGACAGAGAAUGGUUGCCACAGGGAGAGAAGAUGUUUGCCUUAGCUGUGGAGAGUCCUUGGCAGGUGUGUGAUGAGCAGGAGCCUACCAGGAGGUG
rnacentral:lncRNA from 1 species